CUACGGGUGGCUGCAGUGGGGAAUAUUGGACAAUGGGGGAAACCCUGAUCCAGCAAUGCCGCGUGUGUGAAGAAGGCCUGCGGGUUGUAAAGCACUUUCGGUUGGGAGGACUGCUUCUAGCACUAAUAUUGUUGGAAGUUGACGUUACCUUCAGAAGAAGCACCGGCUAACUCCGUGCCAGCAGCCGCGGUAAUACGGAGGGUGCAUGGUUAAUCGGAAUUACUGGGCGUAAAGCGCGCGUAGGCGGCUAGAUCAGUCGGGUGUGAAAGCCCCGGGCUUAACCUGGGAACUGCAUCCGAUACUGUCUAGCUUGAGUACAGGAGAGGAGAGUGGAAUUCCACAUGUAGCGGUGAAAUGCGUAGAUAUGUGGAGGAACACCAAUGGCGAAGGCAGCUCUCUGGCCUGAUACUGACGCUGAGGUGCGAAAGCGUGGGGAGCAAACAGGAUUAGAUACCCCAGUAGUC
rnacentral:rRNA from 1 species